rnacentral:rRNA from 1 species
UACGAAGGGUGCAAGCGUUACUCGGAAUUACUGGGCGUAAAGGGCGCGUAGGUGGUGGCUUAAGCGUGCGGUGAAAGCUCGGGGCUCAACUCCGAGUCGGCCGUGCGAACUGGGCUCACUGGAGCAUAGUAGAGGCAGGUGGAAUUCCGGGUGUAGCGGUGGAAUGCGUAGAGAUCCGGAAGAACACCGGUGGCGAAGGCGGCCUGCUGGGCUAUGGCUGACACUGAGGCGCGACAGCGUGGGGAGCAAACGGGG